GGGGAAUAUUGCACAAUGGGCGAAAGCCUGAUGCAGCAACGCCGCGUGAAGGAUGAAGGGUUUCGGCUCGUAAACUUCUAUCAACAGGGACGAAAAAAAUGACGGUACCUGAAUAAGAAGCCCCGGCUAACUACGUGCCAGCAGCCGCGGUAAUACGUAGGGGGCAAGCGUUAUCCGGAAUUACUGGGUGUAAAGGGAGAGUAGGCGGCAUGGUAAGUUAGAUGUGAAAGCCCGAGGCUUAACCUCGGGAUUGCAUUUAAAACUAUCAAGCUAGAGUACAGGAGAGGUAAGUGGAAUUCCUAGUGUAGCGGUGAAAUGCGUAGAUAUUAGGAAGAACACCAGUGGCGAAGGCGACUUACUGGACUGAAACUGACGCUGAGGCUCGAAAGCGUGGGGAGCGAAC
rnacentral:rRNA from 1 species